rnacentral:rRNA from 1 species
UUAGAGUUUGAUCCUGGCUCAGGAUGAACGCUAGCGGCAGGCCUAAUACAUGCAAGUCGAGGGGUAACAUGACAGCAAUGUUGAUGACGACCGGCGCACGGGUGCGUAACGCGUAUGCAACCUACCUUUUACUGGGGAAUAGCCCGGAGAAAUUCGGAUUAACACCGCAUAAUAUAUCGAGAAGGCAUCUUUUUGAUAUUAAAUAUUUAUAGGUAAAAGAUGGGCAUGCGUCCAAUUAGCUAGUUGGUAGUGUAACGGACUACCAAGGCGAUGAUUGGUAGGGGUUCUGAGAGGAAGGUCCCCCACACUGGUACUGAGAUACGGACCAGACUCCUACGGGAGGCAGCAGUAGGGAAUAUUGGGCAAUGGACGAGAGUCUGACCCAGCCAUGCCGCGUGCAGGAUGAAGGCCUUCUGGGUUGUAAACUGCUUUUGAUCGGGAACAAAAUAUCCUUGCGAGGAGAACUGAGUGUACCGAUAGAAUAAGCACCGGCUAACUCCGUGCCAGCAGCCGCGGUAAUACGGAGGGUGCAAGCGUUGUCCGGAUUUAUUGGGUUUAAAGGGUGCGUAGGCGGCUUUUUAAGUCAGUGGUGAAAUUUUGCAGCUCAACUGUAACAUUGCCAUUGAUACUGAAGAGCUUGAGUACAGAUGAGGUAGGCGGAAUUUAUGGUGUAGCGGUGAAAUGCAUAGAUACCAUAAAGAACACCGAUUGCGAACGCAGCUUACUAAGCUGUAACUGACGCUGAGGCACG